GAUGAACGCUGGCGGCGUGCCUAAUACAUGCAAGUCGAGCGAACGGACGAGAAGCUUGCUUUUCUGAUGUUAGCGGCGGACGGGUGAGUAACACGUGGAUAACCUACCUAUAAGACUGGGAUAACUUCGGGAAACCGGAGCUAAUACCGGAUAAUAUUUUGAACCGCAUGGUUCAAAAGUGAAAGACGGUCUUGCUGUCACUUAUAGAUGGAUCCGCGCUGCAUUAGCUAGUUGGUAAGGUAACGGCUUACCAAGGCAACGAUGCAUAGCCGACCUGAGAGGGUGAUCGGCCACACUGGAACUGAGACACGGUCCAGACUCCUACGGGAGGCAGCAGUAGGGAAUCUUCCGCAAUGGGCGAAAGCCUGACGGAGCAACGCCGCGUGAGUGAUGAAGGUCUUCGGAUCGUAAAACUCUGUUAUUAGGGAAGAACAUAUGUGUAAGUAACUGUGCACAUCUUGACGGUACCUAAUCAGAAAGCCACGGCUAACUACGUGCCAGCAGCCGCGGUAAUACGUAGGUGGCAAGCGUUAUCCGGAAUUAUUGGGCGUAAAGCGCGCGUAGGCGGUUUUUUAAGUCUGAUGUGAAAGCCCACGGCUCAACCGUGGAGGGUCAUUGGAAACUGGAAAACUUGAGUGCAGAAGAGGAAAGUGGAAUUCCAUGUGUAGCGGUGAAAUGCGCAGAGAUGUGGAGGAACACCAGUGGCGAAGGCGACUUUCUGGUCUGUAACUGACGCUGAUGUGCGAAAGCGUGGGGAUCAAACAGGAUUAGAUACCCUGGUAGUCCACGCCGUAAACGAUGAGUGCUAAGUGUUAGGGGGUUUCCGCCCCUUAGUGCUGCAGCUAACGCAUUAAGCACUCCGCCUGGGGAGUACGACCGCAAGGUUGAAACUCAAAGGAAUUGACGGGGGCCCGCACAAGCGGUGGAGCAUGUGGUUUAAUUCGAAGCAACGCGAAGAACCUUACCAAAUCUUGACAUCCUUUGACAACUCUAGAGAUAGAGCCUUCCCCUUCGGGGGACAAAGUGACAGGUGGUGCAUGGUUGUCGUCAGCUCGUGUCGUGAGAUGUUGGGUUAAGUCCCGCAACGAGCGCAACCCUUAAGCUUAGUUGCCAUCAUUAAGUUGGGCACUCUAAGUUGACUGCCGGUGACAAACCGGAGGAAGGUGGGGAUGACGUCAAAUCAUCAUGCCCCUUAUGAUUUGGGCUACACACGUGCUACAAUGGACAAUACAAAGGGCAGCGAAACCGCGAGGUCAAGCAAAUCCCAUAAAGUUGUUCUCAGUUCGGAUUGUAGUCUGCAACUCGACUACAUGAAGCUGGAAUCGCUAGUAAUCGUAGAUCAGCAUGCUGCGGUGAAUACGUUCCCGGGUCU
rnacentral:rRNA from 1 species